rnacentral:rRNA from 1 species
UGGGGAAUAUUGGACAAUGGGCGAAAGCCUGAUCCAGCAAUGCCGCGUGAGUGAUGAAGGCCUUAGGGUUGUAAAGCUCUUUUACCCGGGAUGAUAAUGACAGUACCGGGAGAAUAAGCUCCGGCUAACUUCGUGCCAGCAGCCGCGGUAAUACGAGGGGAGCUAGCGUUAUUCGGAAUUACUGGGCGUAAAGCGCACGUAGGCGGCUUUGUAAGUUAGAGGUGAAAGCCCGGGGCUCAACUCCGGAAUUGCCUUUAAGACUGCAUCGCUUGAAUCCAGGAGAGGUGAGUGGAAUUCCGAGUGUAGAGGUGAAAUUCGUAGAUAUUCGGAAGAACACCAGUGGCGAAGGCGGCUCACUGGACUGGUAUUGACGCUGAGGUGCGAAAGCGUGGGGAGCAAACA